CUAAAGGCAAAAAGCCUCGUCUUUCUCUGUGCGUCUCCUUUUACCCUCUUCUCCAUCCGACGAGUCUGAUCUCCUAGGACCGGUCUUUCUCCCGUGGCUCCUCCCGGAAUAGACUGGUGCUGUCCUCCCUCGUCUGUAUCUUACUUGGCCAUCGGUAGCGUUUGACCGACGCACACGGACGAAAUUAUCGUCGGUUUAUGUGAUUAUGUUAGUGAAUUCGCGAUUUGAGGUAAUGAUACUGCGCACAUUGCGAUUUCACAUAUUUAUAAAAUUUUUGUUUAGUUUAUUACGUUUCUGUUGGUAUAAAAUAUAAUAGUGUGUGUGUGCUGUAAAUUGUAACGCAAAAAUGUGCAAUAUGGCUGAAUACCUCAUGUGGGAUCUUUUACACCUUGAGAAUCGCGUGAGAAUGCUACAACAUCAAAUAGAAAGAAGAGUCUACUAAUCGUGAUACUAAUGAUCCAUUCGAGUUACACGAUAACGUUUUCAUUGAUUUAUUUCGCUUGCCACCUGACACUGUGUUGGAAUUAGCAGAGAUCUUAAGACCAAGGUUACAACGAUUACGACCAUAUGGAAUUUCAGUACAGCAUCAAGUAUUAACAGCUUUAAGAUUUUAUGCUGUUGGCUGCUACCAAAGUGCCAUUAGGGAACAAUGGAACCUGGCUGUCAGUCAAUCGACUGUAAGCCGUUGUGUAGCAGCUGUGACAAAUGGAAUAAAUGACCUAUUACUAUGACCAUGGGUAAAAUUUCCUAUUACAGCGGAGGAUCGACAAGCUGCAAGAGAAAAGUUCCGCACAGCACAACAUCCGUUUAUAAGUGGUAUCGGUGCAAUAGAUUGCACUUAUGUAUCGAUUCUGGCACCGCAACUUCACGAAGAAGCCUACGUCAAUCACUGGGGUGAUCACUGUCUCAAUGUUCAAGCGGUAUAUUUAAAUAAAUAAUUUGUGACCCUGAUUUAAAAAUUCUAAACAUUAAUGCUUGAUAUCCUGGGGCACGACAUGAUGCAUAUAUUUGGGCAAAUUGUGCUGCUCGUUGUGUCAUGAAACGAUGGUAUGCAAGGAGGACGCAAGACUUGGCUUAUCGGUGAUGAUGGGUAUGGACUGGAGCCGUGGUUAAUGACUCCAUUG